CGGGGCGCAGCAGCAGUGGGGAAUAUUGCACAAUGGGCGCAAGCCUGAUGCAGCCAUGCCGCGUGUAUGAAGAAGGCCUUCGGGUUGUAAAGUACUUUCAGCGGGGAGGAAGGGAGUAAAGUUAAUACCUUUGCUCAUUGACGUUACCCGCAGAAGAAGCACCGGCUAACUCCGUGCCAGCAGCCGCGGUAAUACGGAGGGUGCAAGCGUUAAUCGGAAUUACUGGGCGUAAAGCGCACGCAGGCGGUUUGUUAAGUCAGAUGUGAAAUCCCCGGGCUCAACCUGGGAACUGCAUCUGAUACUGGCAAGCUUGAGUCUCGUAGAGGGGGGUAGAAUUCCAGGUGUAGCGGUGAAAUGCGUAGAGAUCUGGAGGAAUACCGGUGGCGAAGGCGGCCCCCUGGACAAAGACUGACGCUCAGGUGCGAAAGCGUGGGGAGCAAACAGGAUUAGAUACCCUAGUAGUC
rnacentral:rRNA from 1 species